UGGGGAAUUUUGGACAAUGGGCGCAAGCCUGAUCCAGCCAUGCCGCGUGCGGGAAGAAGGCCUUCGGGUUGUAAACCGCUUUUGUCAGGGAAGAAAUCUUCUGAGUUAAUACCUCGGGAGGAUGACGGUACCUGAAGAAUAAGCACCGGCUAACUACGUGCCAGCAGCCGCGGUAAUACGUAGGGUGCAAGCGUUAAUCGGAAUUACUGGGCGUAAAGCGUGCGCAGGCGGUUUUGUAAGACAGAGGUGAAAUCCCCGGGCUCAACCUGGGAACUGCCUUUGUGACUGCAAGGCUUGAGUGCGGCAGAGGGGGGAUGGAAUUCCGCGUGUAGCAGUGAAAAUUGCGUAGAUAUGCGGAGGAACACCGAUGG
rnacentral:rRNA from 1 species